GUGGGGAAUUUUGGACAAUGGGCGCAAGCCUGAUCCAGCAAUGCCGCGUGCAGGAAGAAGGCCUUCGGGUUGUAAACUGCUUUUGUACGGAACGAAACGGUCCUGGCUAAUACCCGGGGCUAAUGACGGUACCGUAAGAAUAAGCACCGGCUAACUACGUGCCAGCAGCCGCGGUAAUACGUAGGGUGCGAGCGUUAAUCGGAAUUACUGGGCGUAAAGCGUGCGCAGGCGGUGCUGUAAGACAGGCGUGAAAUCCCCGGGCUCAACCUGGGAAUUGCGGUGGUGACUGCAGUGCUGGAGUGCGGCAGAGGGGGAUGGAAUUCCGCGUGUAGCAGUGAAAUGCGUAGAUAUGCGGAGGAACACCGAUGGCGAAGGCAAUCCCCUGGGCCUGCACUGACGCUCAUGCACGAAAGCGUGGGGAGCAAACAGGAUUAGAUACCCGGGUAGUCC
rnacentral:rRNA from 1 species